GAGUCCAUUUUGGACGCCGCCUCGGCUGCGAAAGUUCAAAGAACCUGUUGCUCGUCACCGUGGCGGUUCCGCCGAGCUCAGCCCCUAGCUCGGCGCUCGCUCUCGGCCGGCUGGCCUCUCGGGCGCUGUGACCCGGCCGCGGCGGCGAGGGGCGGCGGCGGGCGGCGCGAUGCGGCCCGUGGACGCCGACGAGGAGCGGGAGCCCGAGCAGGACUGGGAGAGGGUCCUGAGCCCCGCGCUGCACGCCGUCCGCCGGGACGUCACCGCCCUCGAGCGCGAGCACGUGCGCGCGCACCUGAGGGCCCGCCGGAAGCUGUUGGAGAUCGAGAGCCUGCUGGACGAAAUCAAGAGCGAGGUGGAGGCCUCGGAGGAGAGCGCCCUGGAUCCCGCCCGCAGCCCCGGAGCCGAGGCGGAGAAGCGGGUGAUGAAGCUGUGCGAGAAGGUGGAGAAAAAGGCGGUGGAGGCCGCGCUGAUGGGGAAGCGGAUCGUGGAACUGCACCAGCAGAUUGACAGCUACGGGUGUUACUGAAGGACGCGCGCGGGAGCAGGUUCCCCGCCGCUGGGCUCCGGUCGGCCGGUGAGGAGGACGGACCGCCUGGAGAGGCCAAAACCGCGAGGCGGUCUUUUUCUCCCCCCGUUUUUCUGUCUGCGUUUUCAUCAUGGACUCGAGGUCGGAGUUCUGCAAGAGAGAAGACACGCCUUGGCUGCAGCCGCUGAAGCCAGACCCCAGACCCGAGAGGAGGGCGUGGAGACCCCUUUGGACCCGACUGAGGCGGCCCAGAGGACGGCUGGGCGUGGAGGACGGUGGCGAAUGAAUUUUGGGACUGUGCAGUCCGUCAGGUCGAAGGAAGAAGGCUGUGUUUUUUUUUCUUUUUUUUCAGAACUGUAGUAUUUCUGUGGCACGUUAAUUGGUGCACAUCAUGUAACCUGUCUGGUGAGUAACCUAGGUUAGGGGGCGAGUUCUAGUUACUAUGUGUGUUUGCCGACUUUUUGAUAGAAUACAGCCACGCAUUUCAGGGGCUUCUAUGCCAGAAUGCCCCUGACCUUGCGGGGCCGGGUGGGGGGGGGGAGGGAAGCACGGUGCUGGCGGCUGCAGGGGGACCCCUGGACUGACAGCCAGAGGCCCCUUCGGGCGGAGGGGGUUCCCAGCCCGGCCGGCAGAGCUCAGGCUUGUGAUGAAGUUGAUUUCCCGGGAGAACAGAGGCUGAAAGCCCAGUUCUAGAAUCUUUGUACCAAUGACCAAAGCCGUUGACUUGGCCAGGAAAAAGGUGAGAUAAAUAAAUUUCUUUCAAAAUGGA